rnacentral:rRNA from 1 species
CAGUAGCCACGGGAAUACGUAGGUGGCAAGCGUUGUCCGGAAUUAUUGGGCGUAAAGGGCUCGCAGGCGGUUUCUUAAGUCUGAUGUGAAAGCCCCCGGCUCAACCGGGGAGGGUCAUUGGAAACUGGGAAACUUGAGUGCAGAAGAGGAGAGUGGAAUUCCACGUGUAGCGGUGAAAUGUGUAGAGAUGUGGAGGAACACCAGUGGCGAAGGCGACUCUCUGGUCUGUAACUGACGCUGAGGAGCGAAAGCGUGGGGAGCGAACAGGAUUAGAUACCCCUGUAGUCCCUGUCUCUUAUAC